rnacentral:rRNA from 1 species
GAAAGUAACUAUCUGAACCAAGUUUUUUAAAAAUUACUCAAUUGAGUGAAAAGUCUCAUAUAAAGAAAAUAGACGAGAAGACCCUAGAAAUUUUUAUAUAUGUUUUUAUAUUUCAUAUUAUUCUAUUUUGUUGGGGCGACAUAGUAACAAUUAACUUACUGUAUAUAAUAUGCUAUUUAUUAGUCGAAAGAAUAAAUUACUCUAGGGAUAACAGCAUAAUUCACUUAUGAGUUUGUGACCUCGAUGUUGGACUA